rnacentral:rRNA from 1 species
GUGCCAGCAGCCGCGGUAAGACGAGGGAUCCUAGCGUUGUUCGGAAUUAUUGGGCGUAAAGCGGGUGUAGGUGGCUAUGUAAGUCAGGUGUGAAAGCCUAGGGCUCAACCCUAGAAGUGCAUCUGAUACUGCGUAGCUUGAGUGGUAGAGAGGAUAGUAGAAUUCUUGGUGUAGUGGUGAAAUACGUAGAUAUCAAGAGGAAUACCGGUGGCGAAGGCGGCUAUCUGGCUACACACUGACACUCAGACCCGAAAGUGCGGGGAUCAAACAGGAUUAGAUACCCUGGUAGUCC